rnacentral:lncRNA from 1 species
GGAGGAGGAGGCCUAAGCAUGGGCCACAGCCCGCCUUCGCGAACAGGUGGUGGCCGGCCCAGUGCGGUCUCCGCUAGGGGAACCCUAGGCUUCCUGGGUAAAGCAACAGCUGAAAGCUCCCGCUCUGCUUUCCCAACAACGCUGCUUCGAUCCCGCCCGAGUCAUGUUUGGAAACCAUACAGUAUUCUGCGAAGCUAGGACACAGGAAGUGGCACGGGGAGAAAAGGUCGGCAGCAAUAGUUUGUGCACGCUGUGCUAACAACUCGGAGAUUUUCCCAGCGGACUCCUGAACGCUAAAACCGAAGGAACCCAGGGUGCCUAGCGACACCUUCAUUCUCAACAAGGGUCUACGGAGAAACCGAAACUUACAGUGCCACCCGCAUGGAAAGGUGAAAGAAUGCACUCAUAGCCUGAGAACUGCCAGAGAGACAGCGUGAAAGACCUUUAAGAGGUGAAGUUCCCGCAGAGGAUGCCUGUGUGUUCGCGACCUCUUCCAGCACAGGCUUUACACACCACCCGUCCUCUCAACUGUUAGGCAGCCUGUGACCCGGUCAUCAACGUGCAACGCCGACUCCACCCGCCAGCAUUUUGCUGGGAACCGGCUGCCCCCGAAACCCCGCCACUACCUUUCCCCUCCACCACGGCAAGGAACCCACACCAGUCAGAAGCCCCUUGGAGCGUGUGGAGGGUCCUGGGGAACUACCGGGACCUCCUGCCGGGAGGAGGACCGCCGCCCGACAUCCUCAAUCUCAGGAACGCAAAGCCGGGUCCCCGGCCGCGCCCCGGGGUGCGGCGCUGACGGGGGUCUCAUGAAGUUGCUAAGUUAUCCAGGCUGGGCUUGAACUUGCAAUCCUCCUACCUCAGUUUCCCAGAGUGCUGGAAUUGCAGAUAUGUGCCGUAGUGCCCAGCUGAAGCCUUCUUUGGAACUCAUAUAUUGUUGGUGGGGGAAAAACAUUAGUCCAACCCCUGUGGAAGACUGACAGGAUCUACCAAAGCUAAACUGGGAAACAGUCAUACCCCCUGUUGCGCAGCAAUUCCACUCCCAACAGAUGAGUAAGUACUUCUUUCCAACAAAAGAAUGAUGUGUAAACCACGUGUGGUGGG